rnacentral:lncRNA from 1 species
AAUACAGAAAGUGGCGGUGAAGGCUUUAGAUGCGAUGGAAGCUGCCUUGGUGUUAUGUGAGUUACAGCAUCCACUCCCUAAGAUUUGCUGACUCUGGUGUUCAAAUUGCUGGAAAUUUUGCACUUGUGGAGGAGCAGCUUGUUAUGCCAGUCGAAUGUAUUAGUUUUAUGCUUCAGGUGAGUUAUAUGAGCGCUAAUGUCCCAUUUUGAACCUUUUUUAUUUUUCUAUUUUGAAUCGGUCGAUAAGGCUGAAAUAAAUUGAAGUUCAAGUUUAAAUAAUUGUCCUCUCGUUCUAUUUUCACUUUUCACCAUUGCUUGUUAUAUUACCUUUGAAGGUUGUGGGUGUGUUCAGCCACAUGGAUUCUUUAAUAGAUCACCGGCAAUGGACCUAUCGUCUAAUGCUUGGGAGACGGAUGCCAAGGAGAAUGAUGUGAAAG